rnacentral:tRNA from 1 species
GGCUGUAUAGCUCAAGUGGUAGAGCACAUGCUCAACAUACACGAGGUCCUGGGUUCAAUCCCCGGUACCUCUU